rnacentral:tRNA from 1 species
GGUCGGCUCGACCAGGGUGCCGCCGGGCUUCAGGCGCCCGGAGGCCUCCAGCGCGUCGAUCAUGUUGACGCCGAUCC